AUAUUCUUGAUCAGCAUCAAAUUCUAAAUCGAUUUAAGCAAGUCCGUCUGUCCGUCUGUGUAAUAUCUGUUGUAAAUUUUCUCCAUUCAGGUGGCCUCCCUUGCGUCGAGAGGCAUACAAUAUUGUUUACCAGAUAUUGCAACAACAUGAUGGCUUGAAUAUGUUUUCCGUCUACGUGACACGAAGCACAAGUUGAUCAUGGCUUUCUUCUCAAACAACAUACACCUUAAAGCGCCCAUACACGCGGACAUAACAAAGAUAAUUUUCGCUUUGCGAAGUGGCUAUGAAAAGUACAAUAAUUCCACGCAAGGGUGAUGGUUAUAAAAGGUAGUUAAAAAAAAAAAAAAAAAAAACAAGGAAUCAAAGUGACCAGACAGAUAUAUCACACUUCUGGUUUUUUCUAAGAGUAUACGCUUUCAUUGUACGAUAUUUUUUUUUUUAAAUUUUUUUUUUUUUCAUUUAAGUA